UGGACAGAUUACUGUAUUCGACUGUAUUCACGGUGUGAAACAGGGGAUUACACUGUUUUUAAACGGAAAGUGUAUCAAUUAACAUAAUAGACUUCU
rnacentral:pre_miRNA from 1 species